rnacentral:rRNA from 1 species
ACACUUCGUGAAAUUGUUGAGAGGAAAACUAAAUUCAUGAAUCAUGUUUAUUGGACUCAGCCGUUCUUCAGUGUACUUCCUUUAAACGGGUCAACAUCAGUUUUGUCCUAUGGAUAAAGGUAGUGUGAAGGUGGCUCUCUCGGGAGUGUUAUAGCCUAUUGCUGCAUACAUUGGAUGAGACUGAGGACUGCCGCUUGCCUUUCUGGCCGGAGUUCGCCCACAUGCAUGCUUACGAUGCUGACAUAACCUCGAAUCACGACCCGUCUUGA